AUGUAUAUGCAUGCAAUGGAGCUUGUGCGGAUGGGAGACACAAGUGUUGAGGCGUAUGAGCACCUAAUGAAAUUGUUCAAGGGUUGUGCUGAAGAAAUGAAGCCAUUUGCAGAUAUUAUAGACGAACUUGGACUCGAAGACAAGAUAGCUGAAAAUGGUCUGGUCGUGAACAAGGAAUCAACCAUGGGAGAUCAUGCUGGUGGUGGGGUAAAAAGGAGCACACCUAACGAAAAUGAUGAUGUGCACUCAGCAAAUGAAUAUGGCAAUGCCAUGGCUGGACUGUUGCCUCCUGCAAAGAGGAAGGAAAUGGGAAGGCCUACAACAAGCAGAGAGAAAGCUCCGUACGAAGGACUCAGUAAGAGAACAAGAUUCUGCAUGAUUUGCCGUCAACAGGGGCACAAGCGGACGACGUGCCCUGACCGAGGCGACAUCCCAAAACAGCCACGGAAACCAGCAAGAUGCAAAAAUUGUGGGGUCGAAGGUCAUAGGCGAAAUAUGUGCCACAAAGUGGGGCAGAUUAGGAUGGAAAAAUGA
rnacentral:rRNA from 1 species